CCGCACCGGCCAGACCCAGGUUUCACCCACGCCGCCUCUCCGCCACGGCUUUCGCCGCCGGCUGCUGCACGACCACCCCUCUCGCCGCCCUGCCCCUGCUCCUCGCUGCGCUGCUUCUCGUCGAAUCCCACUACCCCCGGAAGGAGCUACUCCGUCUGCCGCGGCUCGCCGAGGGGCUAUUCUCCUUCAGCGAUGCAAGCGCCGGAGGAGGAAGUCCACGACCCCUCGCCCGCGCCCUCGUUCGAGGCGGCGGAGGAGGAUGCCUUGGAGCAGGAGGACGCCGACGGGGAGGAGUACGACGAGGAGGACGAGGAGGAGGGGUACGAGUUCGACGACGCCGCCGACGCGGCGCAGUGCGUCGAGAUGGCGGAGCGGGGCCCGGCCGCCGGCGGCGCUGGGCCCACUGUCAACAUCCGGGACUUCGAGGCCCUGGCCGCCCUAUCCCGCAAGCGGGCCUUCCCCGACGACCACCCGCCCUGGGACUCCUCCUCCACCAAGAAAAGGAGGCAGCAGCAGGGCGAGCUCUCGGAGGAGGCCGAGUCCGCCGACCUCUUCGACCAGCUGAUGGAGGGGUUCGGCCUGCGGCGGAAGAAGCGGCGCAAAUCCAAGGACGGCAAGCGGCGGGGACGCACCAAAGGCAAACGCAACAAAUGCAGCCCGGAGGUCAUCAAGAAGCUCGGCGACGCCACGCUGCUCUUCACGGAGAACCGGUUCAGGGAGGCGAUCCCCAUCCUCCACGAGAUCGUGCGGAUCGCGCCCAACCUGCCCAACGCGUACAACCUGCUCGGCAGCAUCUACAGGGAGACCGGCGAGACGCACAAGGCCAUCAACUUCGUGUGGGUGGCCGCCAACGUCGCCCCCAAGGACGCCGCGCUCUGGAGGAAGCUCGUCGACCUGGCCCUGAAAGUCGAGGACGCCGCGCUGGCCAGGCACUGCGUCAUCAAGGCCAUGAGGGCGGAUCCGGAGGACGUCGGGCUCAAGUACGACUGCGCCAACAUAUACCGCACCCUGCGCGACUACCACAAGGCUGCCGAGGUGUACGAGCAGAUUGUCAGGAUUUACCCUUCCAACGCCGUCGCGCGGAGGACGGCGGCGCAGAUGUACAGGGACUCUGGUCAGAUCGACAAGGCGAUUGAUCUGUUGGAGGAGUUUGUCAACGCGCAGACUACAAAUGUCGACUGGAGUCUGCUAGAUUUACUGGUAUCCCUCUAUCUUAGAAAUAAUAACCAUGGUGAAGCACUGAGGCAGAUCAACAGGGCACACCUGGUGCUGGGAUCUCAACACAAGUUACCAGUACGACUGCAGGCGAAAGCGGUGAUCUGCCAGGCUUAUGUUGGAAAUAUGGAGCCUGCUGAGGUGUUCCUUCAGGAUGUGCAGUUGGAGCGUUCGAAGGAGAACGCUGAUUUGGUUGCUGAGGUCGCUAGCACUCUUGAAAAUUUGGGCAAGUAUGAUUAUGCGAUGAGGUUCUACUCGAUGGUUGAAGACGUUGCUGUUGAUCAUGAUGGUAGCUCAUAUGUGAAAGUUGCUCGAUGCUACAUUGUCAUGGGGGAGAAAACAAAGGCUAUUGCAUACCUCUAUAAAGCUUUAGAUAAGAUGAAGGACAGUGUCGAUGUGCGGAUAACAUUGUCUUCUCUUCUUGCUGAUGAGGAUAGGAGUGAUGAUGCUAUCAGUGUGCUUUCUCCGCCUGAAAAUCCGGAGUUGCAGUCUGCUAGUAUCCCGAACAAACAGAAACCUUGGUGGCUGGACGGGGAAGUGAAGAUGCAGCUUGCCAAGCUUUAUUAUAGCAAAGGCAAGAUGCAGGAAUUUGUGGAUACCAUUUUUCUUCCCAUUCUUGAGACGCUGGAUAUCGAGAAUGCUAAUCGAAAGGUCAAGGUUACAAAAAAGCUCACAAAUGAUGUUCUGCAGGAAAGAACUAAAGUGCUGGGCGAGGUACGUCCAGACAGUGUAUUUCAAGGAUGCAGGCCAAUAGCUUCACCUGCAGAGUUACUGAAAGCAAACAGAGCAAAGAAAUUGCUAGAAAAAAGGGCAGCUUCAAAUGAUGGAGAUAUGGUAAAGCAUGAUAAGCGGAGAGCAAAGCAAAUACCUCCUCUUCCUGGUCUGCUCACCAAUAUGGAGAACCAUCAGCUUGUCUUAGAUCUAUGUCGAACAUUGACUUUGCUGCAGCAAUACUUUGAGGCGCUGCAAAUUAUCAAUCAUGCUCUUAAAUUUGGAAAUGAUCCGUUCUCUGAUGACAACAAAGAGGAACUCCGGUCCCUGGGUGCUGAAAUAGCAUAUAGAGCUCCAGAUCCCAGGCCUGGUUUUGAUUAUGUCCGCUAUUUAGUUCAGAAGCACCCGCAUUCCGUCUCUGCAUGGAACUUCUACUACAAAGUGACCUCAAGAGAUGAGAAACGUCAGAGUAAGUUUCUUCUUCGGGCAAGAAGGUAUCCCAACUGUGUGCCUCCUAAAAUUAUAUCUGGGAAUCAAUUUACUGAAAUCAAACAACAUCAGUCCGCUACUCGGGAUUAUCUGGAGGCAUACAAGCUGGACCCGGAAAAUCCUUUUAUCAAUCUCUGUGUUGGUUCGUCCUUGGUCAACCUAUCCCUUGGCUUCAGACUUCAGAACAAGAAUCAGUGCAUCGUCCAAGCGUUUGCCUUCCUCUACCAGUGCCUUCGCAUUGGCAGCAACAGACAGGAGGCCCUGUACAACAUUGCGCGUGCGUACCACCACGUUGGCCUCAAAACCUUGGCGGUCAUCUACUACGAGAAGGUUUUAGCCAUGGAGGUGAAAGAUGAACCCAUACCCAAGCGUCCAUUCGAGGAGGAUGCACAACAGCAGCAGGAUCUCAGGCCUGGCUACUGCGACCUCCGAAGAGAGGCCGCCUUCAAUUUGCAUCUGAUCUACAAGGAAAGCGGAGCAACUGAUCUGGCUAGGAGGAUUCUCAAGACCUACUGUUCUUUUUAGGAAUCUACUUGCUACGGAUCAUUGCAAUUUUGUUAGCGGGAUCGUAACGGCAAUUGAAUGUGUAAUUUAAUAGUGGAGCCCAAAAGAGAACUAUACUUCCGCCCUUAUCCUAUAUCAUCUUCAUGAUUAUGAAACUGGCCUGUCUGCUUUGGAGCCAUUGUACCAAAAUAUUGAAUCGAUUGAUGAC